rnacentral:misc_RNA from 1 species
AAGUCGUAACAAGGUUUCCGUAGGUGAACCUGCGGAAGGAUCAUUAUCGAUUCAACGAAGUGCUUGUGAAGUUGUGCUGGCCUCUCUCGAGGCAUGUGCACGCUUUAUGGGUCUUCACACACCCACACCUGUGAACCAACUGUAGGUCUUUCGGGACCUAUGUCUUCUCAUAACACACUGUAUGUCUAGAAUGUCAUUAUGAUUAUCGUCUGCUUCCUCUGUGGAGUUGGGCUGAUAAGAUAAACAAUAUACAACUUUCAGCAACGGAUCUCUUGGCUCUC